UCGUUGUUCAUCGUUACUCAUGGACUAUAGACGCAUCAAGUGUCAGAACAAAUUUACUUUUACUAACAGAUCUCUUGAUGCUUGUCCUUGAUAUCGUUUACUCUAUCGAAGGUAUCUCAUUUAGAAUUUGGUGUUUUUUUUGGUCUGCAAGAUCAUUCAAAGUCGUCUUCUUUGUACUUGUUCAAGCGAUAUUCGCUCUUAUUCUUAUCAAUGUGUUAAGUGACAGCAAUGAAGUUGAUGCAUUUUUUUACUUCGACAUUAUCUUGCGUAGUGAAGUAAAAUGAGGGCAAACAAUACGAGCCGAUACAACGACGAAGAUUUCUUCAGCGAUGGCGGCCCUUGCCCAACUUGUCGACUUGCUAUUAACGAGGAAACCGGUAGACUAAAAUGGUGCACAGAAGGCGAUGAUACUUGGCGAUUUCGCGUUAGAUUAAUGUUAUUAAUUCCUGCGGUGUUAUUACCGAUCAUUAUAAUUUUCAUAGCUUUAUCGCGAUCACAAAUUACCGAUAAAUUAGCUCAUCGCCGUACAUUUAGUCCGAUUCGCAAUUCUCAAGAACAGCCGAAAAAUCAUUUCGUUGAAAAUCAUAAUGCCUUGGAGCUAUCAUCCGCGAGCAAAGAAGUACAGCAAUCUCUUGAUGGGAAUGAAGAUGAAGAUGAAAUUCGUAUCUCUGAAAUUCAAACAAGUUACGUACCGCCAAACGUUCAUUUUUUAAUACAAUCCUCGAAACGACGCAAGAGGCAUACAGAUGCGGAAACAACGUUGAAAAAGAGUAAUGAUUACAGUGCUAUCAAAUCGAUCGAUGAAAUACGCGAGAGAAUCCUACCUAAUGAGAACAAACAAAUAGUUAUAGCUAGUGGUGGGGUCACUCAGAAAAAGUACAUCGCAGGUACGUCGAACGACGAAAUGGAUUAUUUUCUACUUGAUUAUAAUCCAGAAUUAGAAUUUGACGAGCCCUAUGCAUACAGCGAUAUACAGGAUUAUGAAGAUUACUCGAAAGAGGAAAAGACAGCCGUGGAAGAAAGAGAACAAUUAGAUUUCAAAUCAUCGAAUCAAAAUUAUCGGAACAUUAAGGAUGAGAGGGAUGAACGAUCGCAAGACCGAAUGAUCGAUCAUACCGAGCAGAUUAGCACUUAUUCCAUUUCCAUUGGCAACGCUUACAGAAGAUGGCCUGAUAAUUACGAUCGUCGCGAUAAAGACGAUUCAACCGAUUUCCAUGCUUUUUGGAAAGACGAAGGCAACGCGAAAAGUAUCAGAGAGGCCCAAGCAAGAAUAAUGUUAGAAUACAUGGAUAAAACUGCCAAUCCGUGUCACGAUUUUUAUCAGUACGCUUGUGGAAACUGGGAAAAGCGUAAUCCUAUUCCAAAGGACAAGGCGGCCUACGAUACCUUCGAGAUGUUGAGAGAAUCAUUGGAUAUUGUUUUGAAAGAAUUGCUCGAAGAUGAAGUUCCACCUAACGUUCAAUUAAAUACCGACGACGCAACGAUCAAAGCAAAGUUUCAUUUUCAGAGUUGUAUGAAUUACGAGAUCUUGGAGCAGCGUAUGGAACAGCCGGUGCUGCAACUUUUAGAGGAACUUGGUGGCUGGCCUAUCUUGAAACCUGAUUGGGAUGCCGAUAAAUUCGACUGGUUGCUUUUGGUCGCACAGCUGCGUCUGUACAAUAAUAAUAUUCUUAUUUCUGAAUGGGUUGGUCCAGAUAUUAAGAACAGUGACCAAUAUGUUAUACAGUUUGAUCAAACGUCUCUUGGUCUUCCUACAAGAGAUUAUUUUCUUCAACCGUCGAAUAUGAUUUAUCUAAAUGCCUAUAAAAAUUAUUUCAUUAAAAUUGUAACCCUUCUUGGUGCUUCUUUGCAAAAUGCUACCGUUCAUGCAAAUCAAUUGAUAGAAUUCGAAACAAAGCUCGCAAAGAUUACAUCUUCGCCGGAUGAAAGGCGAAACGUUUCUGAGCUUUAUCAAAAAAUGACCAUUGCUGAUUUGAUAUCGAUAGUGCCUCAAAUCGAUUGGCACAAAUAUCUUUCGAUCGUUUUAGCACGGUCCGUGAAUAUUUCUGAAUCGGUUGUUGUAUUUGCUCUACAAUACAUUCAAGAUUUGGUCUAUUUACUCUCAGAAACCGAACCCAGAACUAUAGGGAAUUAUAUUUUAUGGAGAUUCGUACGACACAGAGUAAACAAUUUAGACGAUCGAUUUCAGGAAGCUAAACAAAAUUUUUAUUAUAUUCUCUUUGGAAUAGAACAAGCUCCUCCUAGAUGGAAGAAUUGUGUAUCACAGGUCAAUGCCAAUAUGGGUAUAGCCGUUGGUUCAAUGUUCGUUCGAAAGUAUUUUGAUGAAAAGAGUAAGAAUGACACAUUAUCCAUGACACGAGAGAUACAAGAAUCGUUUAGGGAAUUGUUGAACCAAACUUCGUGGAUCGAUAAAGAGACGAAACAAUUGGCUCGCGAAAAAGUUAAUGCUAUGCUUUUAAGAAUUGGUUAUCCCGAUUUUAUCUUGCAACCAUAUUUAUUAAAUGAACGGUAUAAAGAUGUCGUAAUCCAUCCAGAAAAAUACUUUGAAAAUACAUUAAAUAUUUUACAACACUUGACAAGAGUGGAACAAGAUCGUCUUGGGAAUUCAGUUAAUAAGACUUUAUGGAAUACCGCACCCGCAGUCGUCAAUGCCUAUUACAGUCGCUUCAAAAAUCAGAUAAAUACUUUCCAAGAAGCUUGAAUUACGGAGGAAUCGGUGUAGUAAUAGGUCACGAAAUUACUCAUGGUUUUGAUGACAAAGGGAGAUUAUUCGAUAAGAAUGGUAAUCUACACAGAUGGUGGAAGAAUGAAGAUACCAAUGGCUUUCACGAAAGAGCAAAAUGUCUUAUUGUUCAGCUAUAUUUCAGACCAAUAUAGUCGCUAUACGGUAAGCGAAGUUGGCGCACAAAUAAACGGCAUGAAUACGCAAGGAGAGAACAUCGCCGAUAAUGGUGGUAUCAAACAAGCAUUUAAG
rnacentral:misc_RNA from 1 species